CCGCAGAGAGGAGAAGGAGUGACUGGACAUGGAGACUGAACUAUCCUCUCAUCCCUAAAAGUGGCUCUUCCAGGUCAAAGUUAAGGUACAUCAAUAUAAUAAUAACAUACUCUGUGUACUUAGAGGAUGUGGAGCCUCCUUGAAGUACAGAUGAGCUGCACAAUUCUCUGUGGCAACAUGAGGAUGUGUGACAUAAGGCCACGGAGGUACUGCUGUUCUAUCCAGAGUGCACUGAAGGAGCCAGAUGAAGAGUUUCUCCAGUAAAUAAUUAUAGCCCAGUGAUUGACUUUGCCUUUCCAGUUUACCCAUUCCUCAUAAAGG